rnacentral:rRNA from 1 species
UACGUAGGGGGCUAGCGUUGUCCGGAAUCAUUGGGCGUAAAGCGCGUGUAGGCGGUCCGGUAAGUCCGCUGUGAAAGUCGGGGGCUCAACCCUCGAAUGCCGGUGGAUACUGUCGGGCUAGAGUGCGGAAGAGGCGAGUGGAAUUCCUGGUGUAGCGGUGAAAUGCGCAGAUAUCAGGAGGAACACCAAUUGCGAAGGCAGCUCGCUGGGACGUAACUGACGCUGAGAACGCGAAAGCGUGGGGAGCAACAGG